CUACGGGCCGCUGCAGUGGGGAAUCUUAGACAAUGGGGGAAACCCUGAUCUAGCCAUGCCGCGUGAGCGACGACGGCCCUAGGGUUGUAAAGCUCUUUCAGCAGGGAAGAUAAUGACGGUACCUGCAGAAGAAGUCCCGGCUAACUCCGUGCCAGCAGCCGCGGUAAUACGGAGGGGACUAGCGUGUGUUCGGAAUUACUGGGCGUAAAGCGCGCGUAGGCGGAUUGUUAAGUCGGGGGUGAAAUCCCGGGGCUCAACCCCGGAACUGCCCUCGAUACUGGCAGUCUUGAGUUCGAGAGAGGUGAGUGGAAUUCCGAGUGUAGAGGUGAAAUUCGUAGAUAUUCGGAGGAACACCAGUGGCGAAGGCGGCUCACUGGCUCGAUACUGACGCUGAGGUGCGAAAGCGUGGGGAGCAAACAGGAUUAGAUACCCCGGUAGUC
rnacentral:rRNA from 1 species